rnacentral:rRNA from 1 species
UACGUAGGGCGCAAGCGUUAUCCGGAAUUAUUGGGCGUAAAGAGCUCGUAGGCGGUUUGUCGCGUCUGCCGUGAAAGUCCGGGGCUCAACUCCGGAUCUGCGGUGGGUACGGGCAGACUAGAGUUCGGUAGGGGAGACUGGAAUUCCUGGUGUAGCGGUGAAAUGCGCAGAUAUCAGGAGGAACACCGGUGGCGAAGGCGGGUCUCUGGACAGUUCCUGACGCUGAGGCACGAAGGUCAGGGGAGCAAACAGG